AAGUCUAUACUUUCAGGGACCAUUUCUAUGGCUUGUUACUAGAGAAGUUUCUCUGACUGUGUGCAAUACCAGAAACCACGAGGAGAAGGCAUAGCGUUCUCUGAGUAUGAAGCCGGCUCGUGAUAUUGCUUUGCUGCAAUUGCCACUUGACAUUGAUGAUCGUUCCUGCUCUCCUUCAGGGGAGCUGGAGGGAGAAGAUGCAGCCUGAGU
ensembl:snoRNA U3 Small nucleolar RNA U3